GGUGAAGUGGCAGAGCGGCUGAAUGUACUCCCCUGCUAAGGGAGCGUACCGUUAACCCGGUACCGAGGGUUCAAAUCCCUCCUUCACCG
rnacentral:tRNA from 1 species